GUGCCAGCAGCCGCGGUAAUACGUAGGGUGCGAGCGUUGUCCGGAAUUACUGGGCGUAAAGAGCUCGUAGGUGGUUUGUCGCGUUGUUCGUGAAAACUCACAGCUUAACUGUGGGCGUGCGGGCGAUACGGGCAGACUAGAGUACUGCAGGGGAGACUGGAAUUCCUGGUGUAGCGGUGGAAUGCGCAGAUAUCAGGAGGAACACCGGUGGCGAAGGCGGGUCUCUGGGCAGUAACUGACGCUGAGGAGCGAAAGCGUGGGGAGCGAACAGGAUUAGAUACCCUGGUAGUCCACGCCGUAAACGGUGGGUACUAGGUGUGGGUUCCUUCCUUGGGAUCCGUGCCGUAGCUAACGCAUUAAGUACCCCGCCUGGGGAGUACGGCCGCAAGGCUAAAACUCAAAGGAAUUGACGGGGGCCCGCACAAGCGGCGGAGCAUGUGGAUUAAUUCGAUGCAACGCGAGGAACCUUACCUGGGUUUGACAUGCACAGGACGCCGG
rnacentral:rRNA from 1 species